CCUGCUAUUUAGAAAUCCCUCAAUCUAGAAAUUUUCAUGUUUUCAGAAAUCUCUCGUGCCCAUGUUUUAAUUGAGGGAAUUAAAAAAGCAUGAACAAUUGGAAGAUGAAUCUGAACGGUAAUAAAGUUCAAAGCACAUCAUUUUUUUUCCAAACAUUAAAAAAAGGAGAGAUGAUGUAUUGACAAUGGAGGGGCCAAAAGCAAGCCACAAAAUUCGCCAAAAAGCCGAAUUUGCUCAGAACUCGUCAUUCUUCCUUUAAUUUAUCUACAAAGUGAAAACAUAUUGCAUCGAUUGCUCAAUUUCAGGGAGUGGCUGCGUCCUCAGUAACCUAAUUCCAGCAAACAUUAGUCUACUCAUCAUCAUCCUCUGGAUCAAAAUCUCUGACCUUCACGUCCGCAUCUUCUCCAUAUUGAAUGCAGUUGUCAAUUUGCGCCAAAACAUAUUGUAUACUGUAAAAUUAAAACAAGCAACGUUAGUAGUUACGAGGCAUCAGCCUAAAUCAAAUAACAUAUAAAAUUUUCAAUGAGUUGACAGUUUAGGCUAUCCUGCUAUUCAUUUUUAAAUUACAAUUUAUAAGCGCCCCAUCCAAUGAUGCAAUGGCAACAGCUGCUUCUUUGGAAGGUCUCAUUUCCAGAUAUGCUCUCUUUUCUUUUAUUAAAAGACAAUUAAUGAAUCAUUUAUUUCAAAAGGCAAGUACAUUUAUGAUUGAGACAUUUGUAGCAAAAAAACCCAUUUAAUCUAAUCACUCUCAGACAUUAGAGAAAGCAUAGGUCAAGCGACAGGCAAAACGUCAGGUACUAGUUUCCUAGAGAGAGAAAUCCUGUUUCGCCUUUGCUUCAAUUUUUUGCAGCUUUUAGUCUGCUUUCCCUGCCAAGUUUUGCCCCUUCCUCUUGCCAUCCUAAGCAGGGGACGCUUCCUCAUUGCUCCAAGAGUGAGUUUUUUCCUCCCCACCUCUAUGGGGGGCCUUAGAUAGGUUUUAGGUAUGGUUUUUGCAUAUAGAUUGAGCUUCACCAGGGAGGGACGAUUUUGAUCUACUUUGGAUUAGCUUCAUAAAGCUUGUAGCAGUGGCUUGUGUCUUGUUUCUAGGUGAUGCGUUAGCUCUAUGAGAAGAUGCUCUCCUUUGAUGCUUUAGAACAGUACCUCAGGAGUCAUUUUCGCCAACCUGCUAUAUUUUGGUCGCCAGACCCAAAAGGCUACAAGAGAUUGAGAUUGCUGGUGAGCUCUGUCAUUUAGCUUUCUCACAGAUCAGUGCUUGUGCCAAUUUUGGAGAACCGAGAUCCCGAUAUGCUAUUUCUGCCUUUCUGGAAUGUCGUUUCAUGUUGCUUCUACUGCAGGAAACCACUCUGAGACAUUCCAGACAGCAGAAUUUGGUGGUGGUGCAGCCGCAGCAGUUCAUUCCCAGACGACAGAGAUCAGCAAUGGAGCAGCUGCAGCGUUUCUCCUACUACCCGGUUGAGUUGCUAGGGUUUGGUUGGUAUGGGCUUAUGGGCCCUAUGUUAGUAAGCUAGCUUGAUGGGGGCCUGGUGUAAUUUUUUUCUCUGUUCAGUGAUAUGAGGCCUGCAUCUUAGAGUGUGUUUUUGGCCCUAGGCUUAUAAUUUUAACCCAUUUCAUGAAAUCUCUAUCAUCUGACCACACCCCACACAUGUGAAAAAAGUUCUAUCUGGCCUAUAAAACAUCUGAAGGACGUAAGAACUAACAUGUUUGCCAAUAAAAAAAAUGCAUAAAAAUUACCAUAGCAACUAUCAAACAAAUUACAUGUUAAGAACAUGUAUUGCGUUGCAUAAAAGGAUAAAUAAGAGAGAUAGAACAUUGAAUUUAGGGAUCUUUAGAUUCGUUCUCAUGGUUUUCCAUAAACUAAUGCCAUUAUGAGAAUUCCUGAUCUCAAUUGUAUGGAUUUUGUAUAGUCUCCAAAAGAAAUGAGACAAGCAAAAAUAUUUAAGCGUGAUAAUGGUAGACACCCUUUUUCUUUGGAUAAUCUGUAAAGAAUAAUUAAAAUGAAGUAAAAAAGUGCAUCCUCUAUAAGCAUAGUACCACAUUUUGGUUUAUAAAAAAGUGCAUCCUAUAUAAGUAUCAAGGCGUAACAAUUGCACCAUCAGAACGUGGAUGCCAAUUAGUCCCUCUACUUCCCAUACAAAUUAAACAGAACAACAAUCGAAAUUAGAAGAAAGUUGACCAAUUGAUAAUCAAUGAACAUGCAUGCAGCCAUGCACACAUGCAUUUAUGUCUUCCAAUCAUCUUGAAACAGGUCCACAAAGCAUCAUCUAACAUUCCCAUUAGAAAAUAAAGAACUCUCCUGUUAACAACACAACAGAAAGGAGGGGAGAAGUAUCGACACACCUGGGCAGUCAAAAACUAGAUAGUCAUCAUCCCUGUAAUUAUCCAGCUCUUCCGUCAACCAGUCAUCCAGAUUGUCUUCAAGCUCUUCCAUGCAAUAAAUAAGAGCUCCAUUGGGACCAAGACCAAGCUCCUCCAUAACGUCAUCCAAAGAAAUGAGUUCCCUGAUAUCCAUAGCCACAGGAUAGUCAAAAUGUUCUGCAGCAGGAUCUAGGUUCACAAUGUGUAUUGACCGCCCAACUAUUUCACAGUGUUGGUACAAACUAGAGCAAUAAGUGGACUUUCCACUGCCUGCAGGGCCAAUUACAAGUUGUGCAUAGCCCAUUAUAGCCUCUUCAAACUGAUAGCUGCGCUAAUCAGAAGGCACACAGAGAGCUGAGGACUCGGAAAUAGGAGACGAUUGCAACUGUAAUAUAAGCAGUACACCAAACACCAACGGCACAAAACAAUUUCAGGGCAUGAGAGGAAGCCAUUAACAGCGCUGAGGGAGACCCAAAAUAUCAAGAAUCUGAUAUAUCAUUAAUAACAAAUAUAAAAUUGAUUUCCAAUUUUCCACCAAACGCUCUUCCAAUGAAAUUACUCUUAAUAUGUACUAAACGCAAUCGUUUUGGCGUUGCAACUGUAAAAUCCUAAUUCAAACACCAAGCCUCGCAGAUAUGAUACCGACUAUUCAAAUUCAACGAAAACAUCAAAAUGCCUUAGUUCAGAUUAAAGAGGGUAAAAAGCGUAAAAUUAUAGACAAUUAAAACGAAAUUGCCAUCAAUCAACAGAGAAAAAACAUUAGACAUCGAAGCUUGAGUAGAGGUUACCUAAGGAAAGCAAGAAAAUUGUAGAUGGGGAAUACUAGGGUUUAAGAUGAAGAUGGAAUGCUAAAGCAGGAAG
rnacentral:misc_RNA from 1 species